GUGCUCACUUUAGCAGCGCAUAGGCUAAACCUUGUACGAUACAGAGAAGAUUAUUAGCAUAGUGUCUACUCAAAGAUGACACAUAGAAAGUGGGCAUGGUGGCACAUGCCU
ensembl:snRNA U6 U6 spliceosomal RNA